CAGACAUCCUGGAUGCGCCUGUCCUCUCCAAGCAGGCACAGUAUCCCAGGGGGUACAAGCUUCAUAUGCUGUCCCCAUUCCCUCCUCCUUGCUCUCCAGCAGCCUAUCUGCAUCUCUGCUGGGCUCCUCACACACACACUGCCUCCAGCAGCCUGACACCUCCAGACAAACCCACUCCUAAACCCUCCAUGGCUCAACUUAUCCCACAGUGGCACAGCACAACACCCACAACAUCCUGAGACCAGCAAGUGUCUUCCUACCUCCACUUCCACACUCCUCUGCAGCCCCAUCCAGGCUUAAGGCUGCCAAGUCCAGCUUCUGAGGUCCAAGCCUCCAGCCCCCAUCAAACCAGGAAUCUUCCUCCUCCUUCUCCCACGCCACCAAUCCCUGCCAGAUCAGAAGUUAUCUGUGCCACAAGAACAGCCCUUCUGCUGAGCUCACCUUCACCAGCCUAUGAAUCCCUCCUGACCCUUUCAGGCUCUUUUUUGAUCUGACUUCUAUUUGGAGAGCGGUCAGUCCCUGUCCCCUCCUCCCCUGCUAGUUUCCAACAGCUUCAGCUACUGCACUGCUUCGAAGUGCAGCCACCAGAUUGGCAGCUCUGAAAAUUAAAAGGCUUUCCAUUGCUCUGCGAGAUACAGAGCAGUUCAGACAACGCUGGCUGAUGCCAUUCGUGCACUGAGGCUCCAGCAAUUGUGUGGCAUCCACUAAAAUGGACUCAUGCUGGCUAAGAACAUUAAUGUGGCACACCUGGCCUUCCAUCCUACCUCUUGUGCAAAUCUUACUCUAUUUUCCCUCCACCCCGUUUAACUGCUAAAGCAUCAAUAACCAAACAAGUUGAAGACAAACCUCCCAUGAGCUUCCAGGUACUGUGAAUGGGAAAAGGUGCUCUGCAGAGAAUUCUUAAGCCUUACAAAUGGAACAAAGAUUCAUCCCUUUCUCUGUGCUCGCCUGCAGCCCAAGUGGGUGGGUGAGUAUAAAGAAGUCUUGCUGUCAGCUAACAACCCUGAACGCUCCCACCUGACCACCCCUCCCCAGUACCAAAGCAAGCAGUGCUUGCACACCCACACCCACAGGAUAUGUGCUUUCUACCCUUGGUCACCAGCUAGAAAGCUUCAGUUCAGGAGAGGAAGGUCUCCCCUCGCAGACUCGGAUCUGGAGCACGCUGGAGGUGCAAGCUGCUGCCUAGCAACAGAAGCACUCUGCAGGGAGGCCGGCCCAAGCCCCCGUCCUCCCGCUGCAAGAGGGAUCCUGUGCCCAGAGAAACAUCCUCAGAAGGAUGCGAACCCGAGUAAUUUCUCAGAAAGCCAUCCUGCACAUCGCCAGCUACAACCCCUGGUAAAUCACACACUCGCUCCUGAAGACCACUGCCUGCGCCUGGACAUAGUUUUGUCAGGCAACUGAGAUGCAGAAAAAUCCUGGGACAGAUUUCUGUGACAUAGACUUCACCAAGACAAUAAUAACUUUGCUGCAAGUCAUAACCUCUGACACUUCAGCUACUCUUUCACUUCUGCUGGAAUGAUUACAGUGUAAGAGUACUAUUUUUUAAAUUAUUUAUCAAGUCACUUACUAAAGUCACUUUUCAGCUGAAUUAAAAGAUUUAAAGCCUAGAAAUAAAACAUCUCCUGAAUUUUGAAAUACA
ensembl:lncRNA